CCGCCGCGCGGGCGCGCGCAGAUCCCAGAGGGCGUCCGGGGGGCGGUGGCGGCGAGCCUGCAGCGGGGCUCCGGGGUGCCGCUUCCACUUGAGCGCCUGCGGAGGGGGCCCGGCGGAGCAGGCCGGCAGGCAGGGGGCUGCCCCACGGCGGUCAUGUCCUGACCUCAGCGGCCCUCCAGGAGGCCACAGUCAGGUCAUCAGGCAGCUGCUGGUCAAGGGCGAGGCUGCACCAGCCUCCUCCUCUGCUCCUCCAUGAGCUCGGCGAGCGACAUCUGCCUAGGACAGAGCUGCAGAAGGAAGCCUGGGGAGCCAGAGGCCAGAGCCCUGGGAUUCAGCCGCAGCCCCGGGAGAGCUCAGUCAGGCUGCACUGCCACCUCCAGGUGUGUACCUGGAUACGAGGCUUGCUUACGGUAAGGAGCAGAGGUUCCUAGAUCCAGAGCAUUCU
rnacentral:lncRNA from 1 species